rnacentral:lncRNA from 1 species
GAAACCUCACCCUGCAUUGACCUGGAUUCCCGGGAUAAUUAAGGAAGAGUGAAAAAAAAAGGGAAUGUAGUUUGAUAGUUGUUCAGCUUAGCAGUCUACCUCACCGUGGAGAAAUGACUCGAUCUCUACCUAAUUUGGUGUUUGGGGAAUUGUUCAGAAUCCGUGCCAACCACUUCUGGGACCCCAGAUACUCGCUGGGCGCUCGGGCCACCACAUCGCCUUGGCCGGUGCACACAGAGGACCCAGACUGUCGCCGCCCGUCUCCGCGGUCCAGGUUUGUCUCCCGCAUGCGGCGCACCGGAGCGCGGAAAGGAGAAACAUCUCUGCCAGGCCAUGGCCAGCAGGAGCCCAGGGCGCGUUGCUGUGUGAGCCAAGAUGUGGCCACAGAAAACUGCCCUCCCAGUCCUUGGCAGCCACAGGUGACCCUCCUGCGAAAGAACUGCCUCCGCCUCUUUGCUCCUACUGGAGAAAAAAGCAGGAGCUGCCAGUGGUUUUUGCCAGGGCCUCUAGCCAGCCCGGCGCCCAGGACCCGCGUCCUGCGCCUGCCCGUGAGGCUACAAGAACUCAGGAGCCUUGGGAAGAGGCAGUGCUCGGCCAGUUCUUCCUCCCCUUCCACGUCCCAGCUCCUGUGAGGGGGCGGAUCCAGCGCCUUCCCCCACCUUACCUCCUCCUGCAGAAAUAAACAAUUUUGGACAAGCUUUGAAAUGUAACUGUGACUGAGGACACCCAGGUCGUGCCUGAGAGGUCCAGAUCUCCUGUACGCUCAGUCUAAAAUUACAGCUGGAAGUCUUCCCUGGGAAAGCCUGGCUAUCUUAGGUUGAGCACAUUUACACGGAGGGUCCAGACUCUGCAAUGGGGGCUCAUUUAGCUCAGCUGGACUCAUCCUAGGGUUGGACAGGGUCGCUUGAAUAUAGUAGAUCAAUGUGAGUCUCAGGCCCAGCCUGUGGCACUUGUAUCCCGGGCCGGAAAACUGAGUCAAGCAGCGGAUUUCUCGUGUGUGUCAGUAAAAGCCCCAAGUUACCCGGGCUAAAGUGAAUGGGGGAGUGUCUAGCCCCAGGCCUGAUGAGGCCCACCCUGGCCUUGGGGUCUUAGAGCACAGGAACCGAGUCUUCAAUGUGCCUUUGUAGUGUGCACCUGGUCUUCUUGCAUCCCGAGGAAGCAUCUGGCACAGGCCCAGGCAGAGGAGGCCCUGGCAUUAGUCUACAGGGAUGUUGGUAGCCACAGCUCACUUCCCUGGCACUCCACCUGGCCCUUCACCCGCUUCUGGCCUUCUCCCUUACCACUAGCACAGAAUGCCUGUGAGGUGGGAAUGGGAUGGAGAUUCCUUGAUUAAAAUACCUGGUGUGGCCAGAGUGUGAAUCCAGCCUCCAACCCAAGGCAUGCUUUUUAGGAAAACAAGGUUUUCUUGCUGCUUGUUGCUGCUGCUACUCUGGAUCUGGGUUGGUCACUAAUAGAGAUUCCAAUCUUCAAAAUGGCCAGAUUCUGCCUUCACCUCUUCCCGUUUUGUAUCGAGGAGGAUGAAUGUGGCUUGUUUCUCCUCUGCCACCAGAAACUUAAGGAGGACCCUUUAGGACCUGAACGAUAGACCUUCCAGUGUGGGGGGAUGACAGAGAGCGUGUGUGAUGAGCUCCUUCUGCAUGAGUGGGCAUUCUGGCCCUCAGUGCAGACAGCUCUGGAACCCCAGAAUGGCCUUAGGCCAGAAGGAUUUCAAUGUGCGCCAUUUCCCCCUAUUACCUGCUUUAUCAGCGAGGUGGAAGGUGGUUCUCAUCUUCACCUGGGGAGGCCAGGAUACCCAGCAGUACUCAGUGAGUAUUAUUAAAUUAUUAUUUAUUUCAUUUUUAACUUUUUAAUGAUCUAAUGCCCCCCCCGGGGGGGGGGGACGACAGCCUGGAGUUCUGACAAUCCAACUCUAAAGGCCCGAUCUCUGGGAGAGUCCCAAGGUGAGGGGCGACCUGUUGGAGGGUCCCAGAGGCCGCCGGCUCCCGACUUUCAGGCUCGUCCACCUUGGAGACACCCCCACUCCCUACCCUCUCUCAAGAGCGACUAAGGCAGCUACUCCGCCUGCCCCCACGACGCCUCCCCAACGUUGGCCCACCUCGAGGCUCCCUCCCGCCCAGCGACCCCCACCCGCGGCUUCCCCGCCUGGGGAGGAUCCAAACCAGUACUUUGCUUUUCUCGCUCGGGCUCCGGCUCCCGUAGGCGCCCCAGAAUGAGAAAACUACGUCUUCUCACAUGUAAAGGUCGGGCACAGCAAAUGAGGUGGGAGAAGAAAAAACAGACAAACCGCAGUGGCAUAAAAAGAUUCCUUUUCUGAAAAGAAAAAAAAAAAAGGAUUCCUUUUCUGGCCUUUUUUUUUUUUUUUUUUGCUUUGCAGCCGGGCUUAGCAGGAGAGGAUGCGGAGCCAGAGAGGCGAGCUGGAUGCGGGCUUUGGA